rnacentral:lncRNA from 1 species
CAGAUCCUGGCUCUGUCCUGUCCCCCCUGUGUGACCUCAGCACAUUCCUGCACCUCUCUUAACAAACCCUGCCAACAGCUGAGUUGCUUAGCACCUGCUAUGUCGUGCAGCUUGGAGACCCUGCGCACCCUUUACCAGGACCCUGUCUCCCAAAGCUCGGGCUGGAUCUGCUGAAGCCGGGGCCAGAGGCCUGUGCUGCCCCCAACCUGGGAACCUCCAGACCACACUGAUGCGACCGCUGCCUCCCAGUUCCCAGGAACAGAUACUGAGCUCUGAGCAAUGGGCACAAUUUCAGACCCAGCGUCCUGGCGGUGCCAUAAAACUGCAGCAGCGAAGCUCACUGGAGUCAUUUUCUCCUGUGCUGCUGACACGGAGAGGAAAAAUCCCCAAAUAAAGCUCUUCCCACAGCCACAGCCACGAAAACAUUGUCCCCUGCAACUGUGCUCGCUACUCAAACAUGAUUUCUCCUCCUCAGGGGGAAAAACCUCCCAGCAAUUCUCAUUGCAAGAUGGUAAACCUGUCGCCCUAAUGAACAGCUUUCAUUUAGAACCCAGCGAGAAGGGGCGCACCGGGAGACGGCAGCUUUGUUGACUGCGAUGUUUCCAAAUCACUUGCUCAACCUGCAGCGUUCCCAUGGAGCUUGGAGCGCCCAGCAUAGGGCUUUAUUGUUGUUUUGAGGCAAGAAAGAAGUUUUCAGAAGCCAUACUUUGUGCUGAUUCAUGUUUCACCCUUGUGCCUACAAAGUCUCCCUCAAAUGGGUAUCCUGGUCCUCUUGCAUGCCUCUGAUGAUGGGAUGCUCACUACUUCCCAGUGCAGCCCCC